GCAGCCUUAAAGCGGAUCCUGAUCUUUGCUUCCCAUGAGCGCCAGGGCUCAUCCAGUGGGGACGAUUUGGACGGCAGAAGUAUCCCCUUCCACCACUGCUGUGAUGGUUUGUCCCUGUGUUUUGGCUUCAGUUGUUGCUUUCCUCCAUCCGGCGUCAUGGAGAGACGAGGCCUGGAGAUCGUCACAGGCUCAGCUGAGGACUGAGGGGACUGGGACACAAAGAGGUGUUGAGUCUGUCCUCUGUUAAUCCCGCUGUGCAGCUUUUACCUCCAAUGACACGUAUCUAUUAUUUUUUAGUUGUGUUUUAUAAUUCUACCUGUUGACAAAAGUCGCAAUGAAAAAC
ensembl:lncRNA